UACAUGGGGUGCAAACGUUGCUCGGAAUCAUUGGGCGUAAAGCGCGCGUAGGCGGUUACUUAAGUUGGAUGUGAAAGCCCUCGGCUUAACCGAGGAAGUGCAUCCAAAACUGAGUAGCUAGAGUACGAAAGAGGGUCGCGGAAUUCCCGGUGUAGAGGUGAAAUUCGUAGAUAUCGGGAGGAACACCGGUGGCGAAGGCGGCCCUCUGGACGGAUACUGACGCUGAGACGCGAAAGCGUGGGGAGCAAACAGG
rnacentral:rRNA from 1 species